rnacentral:tRNA from 5 species
GGUCUUGUGGUCUAGUGGUAUGAUUCUCGCUUAGGGUUUUCAAACUCCUGAGUUCACAUUUGCGAGAGGCCCCGCGUUCGAAUCGCGGCAAGACCC